GCCUUGGUAGUGAAAUGGAGCUGUGCGGCAGACCGGAUAUCUGUAAGUGCGGGUUCAAGUCCCGCCUGAGGUU
rnacentral:tRNA from 1 species